AUUGAACGCUGGCGGCAGGCCUAACACAUGCAAGUCGAACGAGUGGCGGACGGGUGAGUAAUGUUUGGGAAUCUGGCCGAUGGAGGGGGAUAACGACGGGAAACGGUCGCUAAUACCGCAUACCAUCGGAUGAGCCCACGUGGGAUUAGGUAGUUGGUGGGGUAAUGGCUGACCAAGGCGACGAUCCCUAGCUGGUCUGAGAGGAUGACCAGCCACACCGGUACUGAGACACGGCCCGGACUCCUACGGGAGGCAGCAGUGGGGAAUAUUGCGCAAUGGGGGCAACCCUGAUGCAGCCAUGCCGCGUGAAUGAAGAAGGCCUUCGGGUUGUAAAGUACUUUCGGUGACGAGGCGUUACUCACAGAAGAAGCACCGGCUAACUCCGUGCCAGCAGCCGCGGUAAUUC
rnacentral:rRNA from 1 species